CAGUGGAUAAAAUAUCAAAUGGUUGUAUACUGUAAAAUCGAAGCAGCGUGUGAAAGUUCAUGUACAAUUAAAGGUAUAUAGAUGUAGAACAAAACUUAUUCUGAUGUAGACAUGAUGUAAAUGAUAAAAACCAUCAAACAAACAACUCAUUUCUGAAGAAGACCCUUGGGGACGAGGUUGUUGAAUGUCUGUAUCGAACCCGAGAUGCCAUGUAUUAUUCAAUAUACUUUUGGAUAGACGAACAAUAAUUUUGAACGUGAACUAUUCGAGUUUGCGGCAGUGGAUUGUGAAAUCUGGAUACGAUUGCAUUGACACUGAACUUCAAAUGGAACGUUUAUGAGAUUAUGUACAGCCUAUGUUAAUAGUAUUUACACAUUGGGCAGUGAUAUUGUGUGCGACAAUACUGACAGUGUAUGUACGAACUUAUUCUAUGAAGUUCAAAAACAUAAAUUAAAGUUAUUAAACAACACGAAUUAGUAAGUAUGUAGAACUUAAUAAAAUAGGUUUGCAUAACAUUCAGCAUUAUUAGUGUUCCGUAAUUACGAAUUACGUUUACCAUGGAUAACUUUUUAAAAGUAUUUCAUUAUUCCCCACACACGUCCUUAAUUAUUUGCAUGCAUGUAAUAGCAUGAUCUUUGUCCCACAUAGGAAACAUUGAAAACAUCUGUUCAGCUGAUCUUAUGAACUCGCAUUGAGCAGCUAUCGAAUCAAUGAGGGCUAGUGUGAAUCCAGUGUUUAAGUCAAUGCUACCAAAGCGACAAUGUUUGGCUCCAAGGUCUAGCCUGUACUUUCUCAUCAAAUUUACAACUACCUUCUUUUCAGCUUGUGACACUUCCCGUACUG